rnacentral:rRNA from 1 species
UACGUAGGGUGCGAGCGUUGUCCGGAAUUAUUAGGCGUAAAGAGCUCGUAGGCGGUUUGUCGCGUCGGCCGUGAAAACUUGGGGCUUAACCCCAAGCCUGCGGUCGAUACGGGCAGACUUGAGUUCGGCAGGGGAGACUGGAAUUCCUGGUGUAGCGGUGAAAUGCGCAGAUAUCAGGAGGAACACCGGUGGCGAAGGCGGGUCUCUGGGCCGAUACUGACGCUGAGGAGCGAAAGCGUGGGGAGCGAACAGG